GACGAACGCUGGCGGCGUGCUUAACACAUGCAAGUCGAACGGAAAGGCCCUGCUUUUGUGGGGUGCUCGAGUGGCGAACGGGUGAGUAACACGUGAGUAACCUGCCCUUGACUUUGGGAUAACUUCAGGAAACUGGGGCUAAUACCGGAUAGGAGCUCCUGCUGCAUGGUGGGGGUUGGAAAGUUUCGGCGGUUGGGGAUGGACUCGCGGCUUAUCAGCUUGUUGGUGGGGUAGUGGCUUACCAAGGCUUUGACGGGUAGCCGGCCUGGGAGGGUGACCGGCCACAUUGGGCCUGAGAUACGGCCCAGAAUCCUACGGGAGGCAGCAGUGGGGAAUAUUGCACAAUGGGCGGAAGCCUGAUGCAGCAACGCCGCGUGCGGGAUGACGGCCUUCGGGUUGUAAACCGCUUUCGCCUGUGACGAAGCGUGAGUGACGGUAAUGGGUAAAGAAGCACCGGCUAACUACGUG
rnacentral:rRNA from 1 species